CCUUGUCCCGGCGAUAGAGUUCGCGCUCAACCGCCUGCGGCUGAUGACCCCUGCUCUACA
rnacentral:ncRNA from 2 species